GAACAUAAAUACCUAACAAGUAUUAGAUUUCCUUGAAAAGGAGGUGAUCCAGCCUUAACUUCUCAUACGUCUACCUUAUUAUGACUUAAAUCCAAUCACUAGCCCUGCCAACGACAUCAACCCUUCUUAUGAUUAAGGUAACAACUUCAGUCAUGGCCAGCUCCCAUAUAGUGACAGGCGGUGUGUCCUAGGCCCGGGAAUGAAUUCGCUGUCAUAUGGCUGACUGGUGAUUACUACCAAUUUUGGCUUUAUGCAUGCAAGUUAUAUCUUGUAAUAUGUAUUGAAGAUGGGGUUUUGUGUUUAUAUCACCAUCAAAAGAUCGCAAACCUUUAUUCCAACAAUUGUAGCACAUGUGUUGCCAAGGGCAUAAGAGGCAUGAUUUUCUGAAAGGUAACUAUCUCGAUUUCAUAUAUAAAUUUAUGUAUAAUCAUUUAAAAAGACAUUCUUACAUAAGAAAUAAAAUAUGUAAUCAUCCAGUCGAUUGUAUAAAGCCAACAGUAGCAACGAAAUCAGGAAAAGUAUACAGAAAAGAUAGUUCAUUUCUAUUAUAUUUAUAUUUUUUAUUAUAUUAUAUUAUAUAUAUAUUAGUAUGUUAGAUAUAUUAGACUAUUAUAUUAGAUUAGUAUUAUUUAAUGAUCCUAACUUAGUGAGUCCUUUCUUCAAAUGCUCAAAAUAGAACAUUUUCCAUGUGAAAUGACAGGGAUUUGUUUGGUUAAUUCGGCAAUCCCAAGCAAAGAAAGUGUCUCAUGCAUAUAUAUUUAAUAAUUCAUAUCAUAUUAAAAAAUAAAUAAGUAAACAAACACAUUGAUUAUAUCAAAUUUGGAGAACCCAGUAAUUUUAGUUCAUCACGGGCAGGGAUGCUAUUACUGAGAUAAUAUUCCCUCCAAGGUGUUAUUUAAUCAACAACUUGAUUUCUUAAGCGGCCACCACUAAAGUUUCAUAGUACCGCUAAAAUGGUACAUGUGUUUGGGUCCGUCCUUCCAUGAAAGUGGUAAAGCUACCUCUUGAAGUUGUGAUGCUGAACCCAACUCCUAAUAGAUAAGAGAAAAUUGGAAAUACCUCUUUUCUCAUCCUACUCUCUCGAUACAAAAUCUAAUGUUUAGAAAAAAACAAUAAAAAAAUUUCUUAUAUCAAAUUUGAAGUGCCAUGCUAUUAUUUAUUAGUAUUCAUAUGGAGAUGGGAUAGUCUUAUUUUUUCCCUCAAAUAAAAACCUCAUUGGCGCCAAGCAAGUAGUGUCUCCAAAACUUUAAAGAAAAUACAACCGCUCACAACUCCAAAUCAUGGGUAAGGUAAUUCUUCUCAUGAUAUUCAAUUGACGGGAAGCAAAUGCAACCACCUUGCCUUCCACUGUGGGUUAUCAAUUGACCCUAAGUACUGAAAUAAGUUCUUUACAAUAAAGAAUUACUUCUACCAAAGAAGGGACCAUAACCUCUAUUCAAGCAGUUUAUGUAUUCAUAAAUGAUUUGACUGACCCUGCUCUUGCUAUGGCAUUUGCAUAUUUAUAUCCUACUGUCGUACUAUUAAGAGGAUUGGCUACUUAAGGUAUUUAUUCAGUAGUAGAUCAUUUAGAUUCAAUGUCAACCAUGCUUUAACCUUAGAUCGUUGGUGAGGAAUAUUACAAAACGACCCCACAACUCCAACUAGCAUUAGGAGAUUCUUUGGCUUGAUUAGGUAUUAUAAGAGGUUUGUGGAGAGUUUUUCUUCUAUUGCUUCUCUAUUGACAAAGUUGAAUUAGAAGAGGAUUAAGUUCUUAUGGUAUGAUGCUUGUGAGGGUAGUUUUGAGAAAUUAAAGUAUAAGUUGACUUCUUCUCUGAUUUUGACCCUGCCCUAAGGUAAUAAUAGGUUCAUGGUGUAUUUAUGAUAUGUCCCACAUUAGAAUGGGUUGUUUCUUAAUGCAACAUGGAAAGGUUGUAGCCUAUUCUUCUAGGCAGCUUAAGGUUCAUGAAAGAAAUUACCCAACUCAUGAUUUAGAGUUGGCAUCUGUGGUCUUUGCAUUAAAAAUUUAGCGCCAUUAUCUGCAUGGGGUGCAAGUGGAUAUUUAUUUUGAUCAUAAGAUUUUGUAGUAUGUGUUCACUCAGAAGGAAUUGAACCUAAGGCAUAUGCAAUGGCUUGAAUUGCUUAAGGAUUAUGACAUGAGUCUUCACUACCAUCUAGGUAAAGAUAACAUUAUUGUUGAUACUUUUAGCAGGGUAUCUAUGGGGAUCUUAUUCCAUGUUAAUUAGGAGAAGUAAGGGUUGGUGAAGGCUAUUCAUAGGCUGGCUAAAUUGGCAGUUUUUCUUUUAGACUCUAAAGAUGGAUGGGUGAUUAUUAAUAAAGUGGUUAAAUCAUCUCUUGAUGCAGGGGUAAAGGAAAAGAAGGCCUUGGAACCCAUAUUUGGGUAUAUUAAGGAAUUAUAAGGUUUGGGAAGAAGGGUAAGCAUAGUCCUCAUUAUAGUGGUCCGUGUUAGAUUUUUAAAAGAGUUAGGAAUAUUUCUUAUGAGUUGAAUUUGCCCUAAAGUUUGUCUUCUAUUCAUCCCAUCAUCCAUGUGUCUAUGUUGAAAAAUUGUGUGGGUGAUCCUUCCUUGGUUCUUUCUAUGGAAGGUGUUGAAAUUUUAGAUUCCUUGUCUUAUGAGAAAGUCUCAGUGAAGAUUUUUAGAUAGGCAAGUUCGUACAUUGAGAACUAAGGAUUUGGCUUGGGUAAAGAUGCUUUGGAGAAAUCAAAAGGUGGAAGAAGCUACAUGGGAAGCUGAAGAUGAUAUAAAGGUUAAAUAUCCAUUAUUGUUCCCAAGGUUGGAUAAAGAUACUUAAGGUAUGCAUUCUUUUAGUCUAACGGCAUUUUGAAUUUGUUCUUAGUUUUGGUAGCAUUCUAUCUUGUAUUCAUUCUAGGAAGCCCCUAAAUUCUUAUUCGGAGAUGAAUGAUCUUGGGGGUGGGGUAGGGGGGUUAAUGUAAUACCCUAAGUUUUGGACUUUAAAAUUUCAAAAAUGAAAUUAAACACUACCUAGGGAAUGAAUUAGGUGAUGAGUCAUUACCACUCAUCACGAGUCAUACGGUGUCAUUCGUUGCCUAACUAGUAAGAUUGUCGUAGGUCACUAUUAUGGUCUCGGGUAGACCUUAUGAGUCAUUAGGUAAGGUCAUGAGUUAUUGUGAGGGACUUAUGACAAAAAUUAUGAGAUGACCCAAAGUUUCUGCUCAAGCUACGAAUCUUGGCAAUGACUCAUGACUAGACACCAUGAGUCUUCACCUAACCCGUAAUGAUUGGGAACAAUUAUUCCUGCACUUUUUCAUUAAGGGUGUUUUGGUCUUUUCAUUCCAUUACACCUCACCCCCUGAUCUUAAUGCAUCCAACGGUACCUCUUAACAUCAAUUAUCAAAUUAUAAACAUCAUUCUCACUUCUGAAACUUCCUAGCAAGACAAAUUAGGGGUUUUCAAGGGAUUAAUCAUCCAAGCUUCCAACUUUGGAUUUCUAUCACAUUUGUUUAUGUUUCAUGCAUGUCUCUCCUUCCUAACUUGAUUUUUAUAUAAAAGCAUAUGUUUAAUUAUUGUUCAAGUGAAUUUAAUUGUGGGUUUAUAUUUAAAUUGAGAAUUUUUGAUUAUUUACUAUUGGAAUUGCUUUUCCCAUAUUUUGAAUAUGAUAUUCAUGCAUUGAAAUUAUGGUUUUAUAAUUGAAUGGGUGGAUGGUUAUGGGAAAUUUAAACAAGGAAAAUGAGUUUCCCCAAAUUGUUGGAUUUUGGCUUGAUAAUGUGGAUAUCCCUAAUAUUUAUGAACUUUGGUUUUAAAUGUGCAAAUUGCAUAGUUUAACACACUUUUGGAAUUAUUACAUUAUAUAAAUGGACAAAUGGAUUUAAAUGAAUUCAAAAGUUCUUGGUGGCCAUGGUUUGGUUUUAAAUUUAAACUUGGGAAUCAAUUGGUUUAAUUAGAUUGGAAUGGCAUAAAUGGAAUUAGCUUGAAAGCAUAAUUGGUAUGAUGAUACCGACGACAAAUGCCUUAGUAAAUUACACAUGGGUGAAUGGAUGAGAUUAUCUGCAAACAUUUUAAUUUCAGCUUAAAGGGGGAUUGUGUAGCUCGUCGUGAAGGUGGAGGUCUCAGGGGGACCAACACUAGAAACAACGUUUGCCGGUAUGGGGGUCUUUAUGAUUGUGUGCCUGUUUCACACAUUAUAUAUAUUUAUGGGAUGGUUGGAUCCUUAUUGUCUCUAGCCUUCCCUCUGAUUUCCUUGGUUCAUGUGUCUAACACAUGUUGGGGCUAUUUCGGUAGGGUGAGUUGAACCUUUAUAGCCCAUGGGUUCCCUUAGGAUGGAUAGAGCUAAACAAUCUAGGUUAAUGAUUUUAAAAAUAUCAUGUUCAUGACCCUGCUACCUUAUCCUGACAUCUUAUACACACACACACAUAUAUAUAUGAAUGUGUGCAUAUGGUAUUGACUGACUUUGGACAUGGCAUUAUUUUAUCCUUUUCCUUGAGGUACAUUCCAGUUUUUAUCCAACUGACCAUCCCUGGAUGCUAUAUCAUCUUAUGAUGUAGGGUCCUAGGGUUCUUUGUUUACUCGUGCUUUCUUAGGUGGAGAAGAUAUUGAUUGAGUUGUUGUGAAAUGGUAAGCCUCUCUCAUCCGAAAAGCUUUACCAUUUCAUUAGGUUUCUUUACAUAUUUUGGUAAUUAAGGAGUUUUAUUUUCACGGUCGGGGGCAUGUCCUGAACUAACUUAGUUUUCUAGUUUAGAGGAUUUUAUGGAGUGUGGGUUGGUUACUUGUUUUGGAUUCAUAGAACCUUCCUUUUGGUUUAUAUAUCAUUCAUAUUCUUUGGUUUUGCUUCUGCUAUCAAUUUAUUGUGCUUAGAUGGUUAGGCUUUGGGGUGGUCUUCGGCCCACGGUGGGCUUGAGAUACCCAUCAUGGUCAACCCUGGUUUGGGUUAUGACAUUUGCCUACGCAAUUGCUUCAAAUAUUGAUGUCGUACACUUCUACUGCCUACUUUUUGAAUAACAUUAGGUAUGACCUAAAUUUAUUACUAUAUUGUAAAAAUAUAUAAAAUCUAUUAAAAAUACCUUGACUUUAGCAGAUAUGUAUUCUCAUAUCUAUUAGUUUACAGAUCUAAAAAUAUAUAUCCCACUUCGAAUCUAAAUUCAUUUUUCCUCUUCUUCUAUAGGCACUUUUUGGAAGUGAUGACUGACACUACAAAGACGCCAAAAUGCAACACUAUGUAAAUAGUAUAUAAUGUAAAUAAUGCAGUUGUAACUGAAAAAAAUGCUUGCUAGCCGUAUAUAUAAUUUCUAUAUCAAUCUUAUCUAUCUAUAUGUGUGUAUGCAUUUAGCUUGCAAAAUCUUUCAAUGCAAGCACGAGCCAUCUCUACCUAGUGUG
rnacentral:lncRNA from 1 species